UACGUAGGGUGCAAGCGUUGUCCGGAAUUAUUGGGCGUAAAGAGCUCGUAGGCGGUCUGUCGCGUCGGAUGUGAAAACUCGGGGCUCAACCCCGAGCCUGCAUUCGAUACGGGCAGACUAGAGUUCGGUAGGGGAGACUGGAAUUCCUGGUGUAGCGGUGAAAUGCGCAGAUAUCAGGAGGAACACCGGUGGCGAAGGCGGGUCUCUGGGCCGAUACUGACGCUGAGGAGCGAAAGCGUGGGGAGCGAACAGG
rnacentral:rRNA from 1 species